rnacentral:tRNA from 1 species
GGGUGUAUAGUUCAGACUGGAAGAACACCUACUUAGUAACCUUCCGUCGAAAUGAUGGUGAGGGGUGAUGCGCGCGACAUCUCCUGAUUUCAUACGAGAGACGAGGUGACUAAGAUAGGAGGCCCGGGGUUCAAGUCCUCGUGCACCCA